UUUCCGUAGGUGAACCUGCGGAAGGAUCAUUAAAUAGUACCACAGAUUACAUAUGCAAAUAUGACAAUCUACUACUAUAUACCAUUCCGAGUACUCUUUUUCCAUGUUGCUUCCGCGAGGCAGUCACCUCAAGUGGCCGUUUGCUCCGGAUCUCCCUUCUUGGAGAGCCGGCUGUGGGCGAGAUUUCCUUGCGAAAGGUCAAUUACAAAUCCAAUUAUGUUUUUAUUUUGUGUCUGAAUAGAUUUUUUUUUCUUUCUUUUCUUAAUUAAUAAAUACAAAAAAAAUAAAAUAAAGUACAAAACUUUCAACAACGGAUCUCUUGGUUCUC
rnacentral:misc_RNA from 1 species